UUCCUGUCUAUUAAAAAUAAAACUGAUAUGACAACAUCAUCCUAUUCGUGUACUGCUUUUGAUGACUGUUUCAUCGAAACAAACAGAACAUUAUGGACACAAGUAGAUAGAAAAACAAUUUUAUCAUAGUUAUCACAUUUGAGUCAAAUUAGUAUUUUAUAUGUCCUACAUCUGGUUAUGUUUGACGGUUUCUGCUUUCCGUAGGUUAGAAAUACCCACUUCUUGUUUUUACAGAAGGCGGUGCUUAUUAUUUGUUGUCAUGGCGGCAUUUUAAAACGUUUUAGCUGUGAUUAGCUUGCUAGCUAGCUGUCGAAGUCUAUCCCGUACAAAUAGUAUCCUAGCUAAAUAUUUUCACUUUCUUUACAUUAUAAUAUUCGAAGCAUAUUGUACCAUCUGGUUGCAUGGCUAGAUACGUACAGAAAUGUUAGGCAAGGGUUUGCAAAAUGUAUCAAAGCUAACGUUAGUUAGCUAUCUAGGCAGGUAGCUAGGUAUACAGGCUACAGCUGAUGUAGAUACACCGGUAAUUAGCUAGGUGAUUUAGGAACAGCCAUGACUGCAAACCUAGAGUUCCCGAUGACCUAGGAUAAUCGAAAAGCUGGGUCACAUUAGGUCCAAAUCGAAGCACUCGGCUUUUUCAGACCCAGUGAAGAUAACGUUAGCGGAAAGACAUUCAUGUAAACCCACAUAUGGUCAAAUGGAUUGUGAACUAUCUGACCAAUAAGACCACAGUUCGUAGGAUUGAACCAGGCAGUAUGAGACCAGAUAUGCGCAAACACGUUACUCUUCAAUGCAGCCAUGCCUCCCAACGCCUAUAACCGUGCUAGCCAAGUUGGCCCAGCUGCACCCAUUGUGAUUGAGAAGCUGAUGCCCUGUGUAGAGGAUUGGGAUGACCUGGAUAGCACCUGCAGCUCUCUGUGUUUCUCUGCUCUGUCUGAGGUGCGUCUGCUGGCUGCAAUCAGGCUGGCCAAGAGAGAUCUGAGGAAGAGACGACAGGAGUCAUUGAACAGCUCCCCCAUCAGACCACAGCCAGAGGAGACCACUACCAUCAAGAGCAAUGUGGAGCAAAGACCCAGGCCCAAGGCAGAUAGCCAGCCAGGAGCCCCAGACAGCACUCAGCCAGGAGGCCCGCAGACUGCAGAGAGAGCUGGCCAACUACAUCCAGAGAUUAGAUCAGCUCACAAACAGGGUGAAUGGUUGCAGAGCCCUUGGAGCCUGAUGAGCAGCGCAGGGUGAUGGUCCGCAGACAGGAAGAGGCAGCCCACUCUGCACGCAUCAUCUAUUUGCUACAACAACAGGCGAAAGAGAUCCAAGAGGAUUUAGACAAACUGCGCUCACAGAAGAUUGAUCACACAAACAAAUCCAGAUCGAUGGACAGGUUGGCUGCUGCCCAAAGAGGGGCGAUCAGGGCCAUGCAGAGGUUCACUAAUCAGCUGUCUGACACGUCUGAGGGUAGGAUGGCCUCCCAUUGUAAAGAGCUGGGCCAGCUGAUCCGCCAGCUUUCUCUGUGCUCGGCCAAGGUGGAGGUGGGCCAGGGAUCAGCCAUCCCAGAGACUGCCCUGGACAUCCUGCAGAAACUAGGGACCCUGGAUACUGCUCUCAGGUAGCAGGAGAGUCCAGUACAUAGGAGGCACGCCCGAGCACGCAGUUCCUCCCCUGCACGCUACCGCAGGUCUCCACAUCGCAGCACGUCUCCCCCCCAUCCCCGUGCACCCAUGGGCCCUGCCACCAGGGGUCUCAGAUGACCUCGUAGAGCAGCAGGCCCCAAGAAGUCCUUCCCUUGUGAGCAACGAGCAGGUGUUCUCAUUCUAAUUCUAGCUGAAUGACUAAGCAUUCAGAGACACUCAUUAUCCCAGUCAGCUGUGCUGCUGAAGCUAUUUUAUUAGCAUUUUAAUAAGGAUAGCCUAAUUAUCUAGUCUUUUUUUUAUUGGCUCAUUAUUCCAUAUCCUCAUAACAUCAAUAACUCAUGUAAAUUAAUUUCAUACAUCAUUAAACCGGGAACAACCAACACAGCAAAUGUGUCAGACAAAUCAGCAUCCCCCAUCCUACGGUUGAAACCACAGUCACACAGACACAGCCGUUGAUAAAAUAUCUGAUCCAAAAAUAGAACAUUUAUUGCGUGGGUGGAACGAUUCCUGAAAUUGCAUUUUUAAUUUGAGCGUCUCGUGUCUUUGUUGUUUACCCUGUUCUUUCAUUGUGAACGAGGUAGCAGAUUCUUACGGUUCCCAUGGCUCAGGAAUUUACCUGAAGGCUUAAGUGCUGUGUGAGUUUGGGCCUCCCACCGAGCUUGAAUCACGGCACCAGGGUGGAGAUUAAUGAGGGACUGGCUGACUGACACAAAGAGGGGAGAGCAGGGCCGGCGUCCGGUUCUCUGGCCAUGGGUCUCCUGCAGGCAGCUCAUUGUGUGGGUUGUUAGCUCCUACUGUGUACAGUCUCCCUGUGGAAGAUAUGAUGCAACCACCACACACCACGAGGGUUUGAACUGGAUAGUAUGCGCAGGUCUCCUUGGCAACUAAUAACAGUUCUCACUGUCAAUGAACAAACCCCCUACUGUACCUUCUCCACACUGCUAAACAAGCAGCAGGCAGGUGUCUGUUUGUGUGCUAGUUGGCCAGAUAAUUGUGUAGUCUGUCAAAGGAGCAUGCAGGUGUUAAGGGCCAUACAUACGGGUUUGAUUAGUCAUGCCAAGCACUGUAACACUUAUUUGUAAGGGCCUAUAGAAAUGAUUGAGCACAUAGCCUAGCUGUUCAAGUGUUUCAAAACAACAUUUCAAUAAAAAGUGAUGAUGAGCCAAUGUUGUGAUGUUAGCAAAAUAGGAGAGCGGUCCCACAGCAUCAGCAGCCACCCAGAGCCACAGAGCCUCCUCCACAGCUGGAUCGCAGACAGGUGCUCAGGGCUGGCCUGGAGAGCCUGGUCCAUCUUAGAGAACUCAGGGAAGGUGGGGUACAGGUCCCCAACAGUCAAGGAGGAGCACUGCUCACCUGAUCUUUGUCCUGCACCCCGACAGGACAAAGGUCAGUGAGUUUAAUUAGUACAUUUUUGGCGCAAUUAAAUGUAUUUUAAUAUGUCUAUUAAUAACGGUCUAGCCUGAACUAUUAGCACUACAUUUGUGUCUCUUAAACAUUAUCUUUGUCCAGAAGCAGGGAGCCCAUGUGAGGGAUGCAGGUUUCCAGCAGCCAACAGUGGCUUUCAGGCUGAGAGUGGGUCAGUACCCAUAGAAGGAGGCCUCUGUGCCCUGGACACCCACGUCACCUCACUCUCCUCCUAAACAACAACAACAGUGAAGAGACCAGAGCCUCGAUGUCUCUUCUCCCCUCUGAAGCCCUCCUCAGGCACCUCAGAGCAGCAGCUGAGUGGUGUGGUGACAGCAGAGCAGGACUAUUGUCUGACCUGUGAUAGACAGAGACAUGCCCACAAAGAAGCCCUCAGAUGGGAGCUGCUGCCUCUCAGACCCGGGACAGAAAGGCCACAUCGUCACUGAGGCAUCGGCUGUCUGAGCAGGCUACAGACAGAGCUGCAGAGUGCGCUGAGGUGCUGAGUGAGGCCCUGCUAGAGGAGCUGCUGGCUGAUGCAGUGCUGGCCACCUGGGUGGCGGAGACAGACAGAUGGAGGGUUUGGCCCAGCUCCAGGCCCCCACCCUGGAGAGCAUGCUGCUACGCAUGGAGGAGAUGGAGAAAGACCAGGAAGUCGCGAGGAGGCACUUUUCUACCAUCACGUACUCAGACCCUCACUGCUGGGACAAAGGGGACACAACUGGGGAGUAAACAGGCCAAGUAACUCCUCCACACAGUUUUGCAUGAGGGUUUGAAUUGUUGUUCCUCUGGUGCACUGCAGGUGGAGGUAUUGUCUUAGUUCUGUUUCAGCCAGUUGAGAGCAAGGCUAUCCCUCUUCCUAACUCUCCUUUUCCACCCCUCUUUCUCCCAUCCCUAUCUCUCUCUCAAGGCCCUAGAGGCCUGCUCCAGGCCAGUCUCUCCUCAGCCCGUCAGGAUCACCGGGCCAACACUGAGACACACCACCACGGCUGACAUUGUCCUGGAGAGCCCUGUGGAGACCGGGUGUUUUUUCAUCUGGCGUUGCCAAAGCGCUCUUUUCUCUGAAUAGUCCAAUGCACAGAAUUCAAUAGAACAUUGUGUAUUGUUACAGUAUCUGUAUAUCAAUAUGUUUGUUUUGUAGUAAUCACCAUGCAAUACUGCAGCCACCAUCUUAGAGAAAGCUUCAAGCACUGGCUGAGUUUAAUGGGUUGAUGUAUGGACAGAUGGUUUGAGAAACAGAUAGAUAUCAAUAAGGAAUAUAUUACAUUAUAUACUGGGUGGUUCGAGCCCUGAAUGCUGAUUUGUCUGACAGCCGUGGUAUAUCAGACCAUACACCACGGGUAUGACAAAUCAUUUAUUUU